rnacentral:rRNA from 1 species
UACGUAGGGGGCAAGCGUUGUCCGGAAUUAUUGGGCGUAAAGAGCGUGUAGGCGGUCCGGUAAGUCCGCUGUGAAAGUCGGGGGCUCAACCCUCGAAUGCCGGUGGAUACUGUCGGGCUAGAGUGCGGAAGAGGCGAGUGGAAUUCCUGGUGUAGCGGUGAAAUGCGCAGAUAUCAGGAGGAACACCAAUUGCGAAGGCAGCUUGCUGGGCUACUCCUGACACUGAGGUACGAAAGCGUGGGGAGCGAACAGG